rnacentral:misc_RNA from 1 species
GCUCCGUUGGUGAACCAGCGGAGGGAUCAUUACUGAGUUACCGCUCUACAACCCUUUGUGAACAUACCUAACUGUUGCUUCGGCGGGCAGAGGUCCCUCGCGGAUCUCUCCCGGCAACGCCCUCACGGGCGGAGCGCCCGCCGGAGGAUACCAAACUCUAUUUUAACGACGUUUCUUCUGAGUGGCACAAGCAAAUAAUUAAAACUUUUAACAACGGAUCUCUUGGUUCUG